ACUUCAAGUGGGUUCAGUUAUGUGAUAGAAGAAGAAUGAACAACAACUAUUGAUCUGAUUGAUAUUUGGAUAGCUGGAACUUGGAAGCUAA